rnacentral:rRNA from 1 species
GUCUAUAGCCAUACCUCCCUGGAUGAGUCCAACUCAUCUCAUCUCCGAAGCGAAGCAGGGUCAGGCCUGGUUAGUACUUGGAUGAGAGAGAUAAAACAAGCUGAAGAUG